rnacentral:rRNA from 1 species
UUCCUCGGUCAUGCCGGUUUUUACAGAAGGUUCAUUAAGGACUUUUCUAAGAUCUCUAGGCCUCUGGCUAAUUUAUUGCAAAAAGAUAUUCCUUUUGUCUUUGAUGAUGAUUGUGUAGAAGCAUUUGAAAUACUUAAUAAAGCCUUGAUCACUGCACCUGUUGUUCAGCCACCUGAUUGGAAUUUACCUUUUGAAAUUAUGUGUGAUGCUAGUGAUUAUGCUGUAGGUGUUGUUCUAGGGAAAAGAGUCAGUAAGAAAUUGAAUGUUAUCCAGUAUGCUAGUAAGACUCUUGAUACCGCCCAAAGAAAUUAA